rnacentral:rRNA from 1 species
CCUACGGGCGGCUGCAGUGAGGAAUAUUGGUCAAUGGACGAGAGUCUGAACCAGCCAAGUAGCGUGAAGGAUGACUGCCCUAUGGGUUGUAAACUUCUUUUAUAUGGGAAUAAAACGUUCCACGUGUGGGAUUUUGUAUGUACCAUAUGAAUAAGGAUCGGCUAACUCCGUGCCAGCAGCCGGGUAAUACGGAGGUUCCGAGCGUUAUCCGGAUUUAUUGGGUUUAAAGGGAGCGUAGGUGGAUUGUUAAGUCAGUUGUGAAAGUUUGCGGCUCAACCGUAAAAUUGCAGUUGAAACUGGCAGUCUUGAGUACAGUAGAGGUGGGCGGAAUUCGUGGUGUAGCGGUGAAAUGCUUAGAUAUCACGAAGAACUCCGAUUGCGAAGGCAGUUCACUGGACUGCAACUGACACUGAGGCUCGAAAGUGUGGGUAUCAAACAGGAUUAGAUACCCCAGUAGUC